ACGGAGGGUGCGAGCGUUGUUCGGAAUCACUGGGCGUAAAGCGCGUGUAGGCGGCCUUUUAAGUCUGACGUGAAAGCCCGGGGCUUACCCCCGGAAGUGCAUUGGAGACUGGGAGGCUAGAGUACCGGAGAGGAAGGUGGAAUUCCUGGUGUAGCGGUGAAAUGCGUAGAUAUCUGGAGGAACACCGGUGGCGAAGGCGGCAUCCUGGACCGAUAUUGACGCUGAUGCGCGAAAGCCAGGGGAGCAAACGGGA
rnacentral:rRNA from 1 species